CCGGGUGUAGCGCAGUUUGGUAGCGCAUCUGUUUUGGGAGCAGAGGGUCGCAGGUUCAAGUCCUGCCACUCGGAC
rnacentral:tRNA from 1 species